CCGGGCGAUAAUAGCGGAGGUGUCACACCCGUUCCCAUUCCGAAUACGGAAGUUAAGCCCUCCUGCGUCGAUGGUACUGUCACGGUGACGUGGCGGGAGAGUAGAACGUCGCUCGGC
rnacentral:rRNA from 1 species